rnacentral:tRNA from 1 species
GCGGAUGUGGCGGAAUUGGUAGACGCGCUAGCCUCAGGCGCUAGUGGGAGCAAUCUCGUGGAGGUUCGAGUCCUCUCAUCCGCA